GCGGGAAUGUGUGAGGCGGGGGGCGCACGGUACCUGUGACAGCUGUCCCCGCCCCUGCCGCAUGUUCGUCAUGUCACAGCACUGGAUGCAAACACAGAGACUUGUUUGCAAGCUCAUCUCUCCACGCAGAAGUGCGCAAAUGCAAAGAUUUAAAUUAUUAGAAGUACUUUGGCUUUGUAAGGAGUUCUUCACAAAUCACUUGCUUGGUUUGCCAUCCCUUCAGAAGAGAAUUGGUUGCAACUCUUCCAGCCUUGCUGUUGCACAAGUCUCAGUUAAGUGGAUUGUCAAGUUGGCUUGAAAAAAAAACAAACA
rnacentral:lncRNA from 1 species